AGCUUGCUUCUAUGACGUUAGCGGCGGACGGGUGAGUAACACGUGGGCAACCUGCCUGUAAGACUGGGAUAACUUCGGGAAACCGAAGCUAAUACCGGAUAGGAUCUUCUCCUUCAUGGGAGAUGAUUGAAAGAUGGUUUCGGCUAUCACUUACAGAUGGGCCCGCGGUGCAUUAGCUAGUUGGUGAGGUAACGGCUCACCAAGGCAACGAUGCAUAGCCGACCUGAGAGGGUGAUCGGCCACACUGGGACUGAGACACGGCCCAGACUCCUACGGGAGGCAGCAGUAGGGAAUCUUCCGCAAUGGACGAAAGUCUGACGGAGCAACGCCGCGUGAGUGAUGAAGGCUUUCGGGUCGUAAAACUCUGUUGUUAGGGAAGAACAAGUACGAGAGUAACUGCUCGUACCUUGACGGUACCUAACCAGAAAGCCACGGCUAACUACGUGCCAG
rnacentral:rRNA from 1 species